rnacentral:lncRNA from 1 species
UGAAUUUCCAUGUGUCUAACCUGAUAAACUAGCAGUCCUGAGGUUAAGUGUUCCUACUCUUUUGAAUUUUUAGAUUAAAGCCCAGGACCGAUGCCAUGAAUGUGUUAUUUUUGUCCUUCCUACUGUUAGUUUCCAGCAGAAUCUGGGCCUUCUCUUUAUAUCUCUCCCUAUAUUAUCCCCUCUCUCUGUCCCAAAGAUGUGGACAGACCUAGGUUUCCAGGGGAAGAGUCUUCUAGAGUAACAUAGCAAUCAGCCUCUAAUGGGCAAAUACCUCCAUGGGU